GAAGCUCCGCCUUGGUAACAAGCUUCUGACUGGCUGGCCUAGGGAAGGAGCGGGCCAAUCAAAGCUUGAGGGGGAGUUGGGUGGGGACACUAGGUUUGAGAGCUGGGUUCCUUGCUCACCGCGGAGCACGCACAGCAGGACCUUUCAGGAAGGGCGGGUGGCUGUGGUGCUUUCGGUGCCUCCCCACUUCACCACCUGCUGCUCGAGUGGCUAAGUCUCUGAAGCUUCGGAUUUUUCCACAGUUUCUGGCUUUCCUUGAAGAGUAAAAU
rnacentral:lncRNA from 1 species